UAGGGAAUCUUCCGCAAUGGACGCAAGUCUGACGGAGCAACGCCGCGUGAGUGAAGAAGGAUUUCGGUUCGUAAAACUCUGUUGUUAGAGAAGAACAGCGCAUAGAGUAACUGUUAUGCGUGUGACGGUAUCUAACCAGAAAGCCACGGCUAACUACGUGCCAGCAGCCGCGGUAAUACGUAGGUGGCAAGCGUUGUCCGGAUUUAUUGGGCGUAAAGCGAGCGCAGGCGGUCAAUUAAGUCUGAUGUGAAAGCCCCCGGCUCAACCGGGGAGGGUCAUUGGAAACUGGUUGACUUGAGUGCAGAAGAGGAGGGUGGAAUUCCAUGUGUAGCGGUGAAAUGCGUAGAUAUAUGGAGGAACACCAGUGGCGAAGGCGACUCUCUGGUCUGUAACUGACACUGAGGUUCGAAAGCGUGGGUAGCAAACAGG
rnacentral:rRNA from 1 species